CGGCUCACACUGUUUACAAUGCGCAGUUUCGCUUCAUCAGAAGCCGUCGAUGGGCUCCAUUUGCAUACACCUUUCGCCGACGUGUUUGGUCUUCGCACACUCUGAAUUAUAGAAAAAGCAAAAAUGAGUAUUUUCAAUGGAAGGAGAUGCUUAUGAAUGCACGGGCCUACUUCCCUGUUUCACAAACGAGCAACCUCGCUUUUGCACAAGGAUAAACUGCUGAGAAAGAAAAAAAAGGAAAACAUCACACGAGUCUAGUGACGAGCUGAAGUCUGGCAGGUGGGACAAAAAUCUGAGAGAAAGUACACUGUGAUGACUACAAAGAGAUGAGGAUUAAAGACAAAGAAGCAAAAUAUCUGGCAGCAGAAGAAGCACUACAAAGUGAGCCUUAAGAUUCUUCCCCAUGUAAUGAGAUGUAAGACUAAUAAGAUAAUAAUAAAGAAAUUACACAUUCAGAUUGGUUGGUGGAGUAUAAUUAUGCUCCAUCUAUGCGACAGGGGAAUGUCUGGUGGUGUGUAUCUGCCUCUGGGCUGAUAGACUUGAGGGCAGCACAGUGGUGCAGUGGAUAGCCCUGUCACCUCUCAGGAAGAAAGGUCCUGGGUUCAAAUCCUGGGGCCUUUCGGUGUGGAAUUUGCAUGUUCUCAUCCUGCAUGGUUUUCCUCCAGGUGCUCCACUUUCCUCCCACAGUCCAAAGACAUGCAGGCGGGCAUUCAUAGGACCUUGCUGCAAAAGAACAUGCAUGCGCAGUCAACCUACCUUGUAUACAUAAAGGUUAAUACAUAAAUAAAUAAUGUAAAAUUUGAAGGAAAUAGACAAUGGUUUAUGGACUAACAGGGCAAGAGGUGAGGAUAUUUAUCUGGACCAAGAAUCCGGGUUAACAGUUUUGGGGUUCUAGUAGAAAUGUAUUGUUUGCAUACCUGGUAUUUGUAGUAGUAUAAUAUUAUAAAUAAAUGUUCUAGAACAUCAUCUUUUGCUCAAAUUUAAUUUCUGCUUAAGUUUUGACCCAAAACCUUCAUCUGAGGGGUUAAAAUCUUACAUUUUACAAGAAGAGACAUUUGGUCCUGCUCUGGCUACUAUACAGCAAUGUUGGUCAGUCUGCGUUGCCUUGCUCUUAGACAAGAAGGGGUGGAAAAAAAAUGUUUUUCUGAAUCAGGAGAGGGAGUCAUGGGAAAUUGAGCUUGAGGGUGGCUCUCUUGUGGACCCCAAGCUGUGCUACAAGUUAGGAAAAUGAAUUCCUUGCAAGCAAUGCCACGAAAUGAUGGCCUACCACUGUGCCUGGGCCACGAUACAGAGGAAGGACGCCGAGCCGUUUUUAGAUCUGCCAUUAGCUAUAAUUUAAAAAUUGAAAUCAAUGCAGCCUGGACUGCUAGUUGAUGAUAAUGAAAGCAUGGCAGGCUGCUGGUAUGGCUGUGGGCAAGACAUGUCCCCAUCCUCACAGCUACAAAGCCUCCUCCAGUCCCCUAGUGCUUUUAUUAGUCUACCCCUCUGCCCGUCUCAUGAAGGAGAAAUAAAAUUAUUUUGGUUCAAUUCAAAAUUGAAUUUUCUAUGUUUUUAUUUGUCUGAACAGCCUGUAUAUCAUAAUUGCGUGGAGCCCGUGAAGGGAGGGCAAUGUCUCAUCUGAUCUCCUGUGACCAGUAAACUGAGCCACUUAAGGAUGGAUGAUGCUGUGGCCAAUGCAGUUCACUGAAUCAUUAUCCCUUGAUUGCUCUGUCAUUAGGUGGUCCUCUGAAUUGAGAUAUUUACUUAUUUUGCAUGACUUGGCUCAGUUACUCUUUGCUCAUGCAUUGCAGAGAAGAAACGAAUGGAAUCAGUUAAAAUGGCGUUCCGUAUCUACCCUGUCCAUGUCAGACAGUGUUGUCAGGCCAUAUUUACCAGCAGGGAAAAAGCCUGAUAAGGAUAUGGAAGUCCAUCUAUUCUUGUUUCUGCUGCCCUACAUAUAUAAAGCGUGUUGAUGCAUUGAACGCUUUCAUUUCCAGGCUUUGCCAGUUUGUUUCUGAUACACGUGAUUUGUGACGGCGUGAGCAUUAUUGUUUUAAUGUGUGGCAGAAUUGAGCCUAUGGACUAACAUUGAUUCAUUGCUUUGUGUCGGGUAUCUUGUGGUGUCUUAAAGUAUCCCCAGAGUGUUGAACAGAUUGGAUGCUGAAAUUAUUUACAUGUAGAGGAUCCUUUAACACUUAAUGUAGCGCUACCAAUGAUUAAUAUUUACUGUGUCUUUGCGCAGUGUGGCCCCUGAGUUUGCAACCAGUAAUGCCUGGUGGGUGUGACCAGGGCAGGUGGGGUUGAACUCGGCUGGACAGCGCUGUUAGUUAUUGGUGGUAAGUGUCUGGCAGCCUCCAUGCUUGCUUGUGGGAGAGCAGUUACGAGUGAAUCACUGAACUGGAAGUGGGCUCAGUGGUCUGUCAGCUGUUCGGAGUCUGUCGCACUGACCCAGGUUAACACAUGUGGUGCUUUAGUGGAGGGUGUGAUCAGUGCACAGGCAUUCUAAAUGAAAGGAAGAGUUUAAUGGGAGCACUUUUCUUUUUCAGAAUGAUCCCUCUUUGGGGUUUCUGGAAUGUGGUGUGAUUCUGGGAAAAGUAAAAAAAUUCAGUGAUAGUAAAAAAUGAAACAGCAACAUGCACUAUUUUUUGAACAGGACAUGGUUUCUGUUAUAUUGUGUCUUUGGCAUAUAGGAGUAAGGAACUUGACAAAAUUCUUUUUUUAAUAUGAAGUAAAGAACUGGCUCCACAACAGAAACUAUAGACAUUUUGGGUCGGACCUGCAGUGGUUAUGUAUUUUGACCUCAUUUCACAUUAAACUUGUACAGAUUUUGAUCAAUCAAAGCCAAUCUUCAAGUUGAUAAAAAAGAUUGUUUUAUUUUUUCAAUUUUUUGUUAUCUAAUUACUUUUUUUUGCUUAUUGUUAAUGUAAUGUUCAAACUAUAAAACAUUUAAUGCUAUAAGAUGCUCAUGUCUGCACGUGUCCUGAAUCCCAUAUUGGUUUUUCUUAGGAACAUUUGUAAGACCAAAAGUAAAAAUAAUUUAGAAAAGUUUUUCGAAUGGGGCCCACUGUUUCUAAUACUUGAUUGGUAUGUGCAGUCCACAUAACAAGUUGAACAAAAGCCAGGAAGUUACCAUAACAUUGUAUGAAAAUGUGUAUACAAUGUUUGUGUUUUGAGAGCCAACAAACAAUGACAGGUUAUUGCUAUCCGGUCUGAUAUCGAAGUUGUUCUGGGUGAACUUAAAAAUCACAUUUUUGUGCUAUAAUUUAAAAUAGGUUGUUAUUGUUAACAAUGCAAUUAAUUCUCUGAUGAAUAAUGUAUUCUGCAGGAAAGGAUUAUAGGACAAUUGUAAUUCAAUGUUGAAUUUUUACAUUUAUCAUUUUAUUUUACAUAUUCAUGUAUUCAUUUUGUCAAUAAAAAUAGGUGGCAUACUGAAAGCAAAGCCACUAAGCAUGCUCUGCACUGCAUGUGGUAUUCCAGUGAGAUUGUCAAUGCAAUGCCAAGCUCCAUAUAGCCAUUAUGUGGACAUUUUUGGGAAGGUUCUUGUCAUCUGUUGCAGACAUUCAGUGUUGAUUGUGGAUGUGGAUGAAAGGCAAAAAAAAAAGAAACCCCAAAGAAACUAAAUUAAUU